UACGUAGGAGGCAAGCGUUAUCCGGAAUGACUGGGCGUAAAGGGUGCGUAGGUGGUUUGGCAAGUUAGUAGCGUAACCCCGGGGCUCAACCUCGGAACUACUACUAAAACUGUCGGACUUGAGUGCAGGAGGGGCAAUUGGAAUUCCUAGUGUAGCGGUGGAAUGCGUAGAUAUCAGGAGGAAUACCGUUAGCGAAGGCGGCAAUCUGGCUGGAAACUGACGCUGAGGUGCGAAAGCGUGGGUAGCAAACAGG
rnacentral:rRNA from 1 species